UACGGAGGAUGCAAGCGUUAUCCGGAUUUAUUGGGUUUAAAGGGUCCGCAGGCGGACCAAUAAGUCAGGGGUGAAAUCCGGCAGCUUAACUGUCGAAUUGCCUUUGAAACUGUUGGUCUUGAAUAAGAAUGAAGCAGCUGGAAUGUGUGGUGUAGCGGUGAAAUGCAUAGAUAUCACACAGAACAUCGAUAGCGAAGGCAGGUUGCUAAUUCUUUAUUGACGCUGAGGGACGAAAGCGUGGGGAGCAAACAGGAUUAGAUACCCUGGUAGUCCACGCCGUAAACGAUGGAUACUGUCUGUUGGGCUUCACGGCUCAGUGGAUAAGCGAAAGUGAUAAGUAUCCCACCUGGGGAGUGCGUUCGCAAGAAUGAA
rnacentral:rRNA from 1 species